AUUGAACGCUGGCGGCAGGCCUAACACAUGCAAGUCGAGCGAGCGGCGGACGGGUGAGUAAUGCCUGGGAAUUGCCCAGUCGAGGGGGAUAACAGUUGGAAACGACUGCUAAUACCGCAUACGACUGGAGUGCCCAGGUGGGAUUAGCUAGUUGGUGAGGUAACGGCUUACCAAGGCGACGAUCCCUAGCUGGCCUGAGAGGGUGAUCAGCCACACUGGAACUGAGACACGGGCCAGACUCCUACGUGAGGCAGCAGUGGUGAAUAUUGCACAAUGGGGGAAACCCUGAUGGAGCCAUGCGGCGUGGUUGAAGAAGGCCUUCGGGUUGUAAAGCACUGUCAGCGAGGAGGCGUUACUCGCAGAGAAAGCACCGGCUAACGCCGUGCCAGCAGCCGCGGUAAUAC
rnacentral:rRNA from 1 species